UACGUAGGGGGCAAGCGUUGUCCGGAUUUAUUGGGCGUAAAGAGCGUGUAGGCGGCUAGAUAGGUCCGUUGUGAAAACUCGAGGCUCAACCUCGAGACGUCGAUGGAAACCAUCUGGCUAGAGUCCGGAAGAGGCGAGUGGAAUUCCUGGUGUAGCGGUGGAAUGCGCAGAUAUCAGGAGGAACACCAAUAGCGAAGGCAGCUCGCUGGGACGGUACUGACGCUAAGGCGCGAAAGCGUGGGGAGCGAACAGG
rnacentral:rRNA from 1 species